CCUAGAGUUGUAGGCUUUGCCUGCUAUCUCUUACCCAUGUCUUUUGAGUACCUUCGUUUCCUCGGCGGGUCCGCCCGCCGAUUGGACAAUUUAAACCAUUUGCAGUUGCAAUCAGCGUCUGGAAAAAACUUAAUAGUUA
rnacentral:misc_RNA from 1 species